rnacentral:tRNA from 1 species
GUGGGUAUAGCUCAAGUGGUAAAGCGCAUGCUUGGCAUGCCUGAGGUCCUGGGUUCAAUCCCCAGUACCUACA